rnacentral:rRNA from 1 species
GACGAACUGUCCUAACGUUGUUCGGAAUCACUGGGCGUAAAGCGCACGUAGGCGGACUCUUAAGUCGGUGGUGAAAUCCUGGAGCUCAACUCCAGAACUGCCUUUGAUACUGAAGAUCUUGAGUUCGGGAGAGGUGAGUGGAACUGCGAGUGUAGAGGUGAAAUUCGUAGAUAUUCGCAAGAACACCAGUGGCGAAGGCAGCCCCCUGGGCUAAGACUGACGCUCAGGCACGAAAGCGUGGGGAGCAAACAGG